GAAUGAGACAAGGUACUGAAUGCAGAGUUUAAGUCAGAAAAUGAUGAACUUGAUGUUGGUUCCCCUGACUCUUUGCCCUCCAACUAAAGACAAAGCCACAGAUACCAUGCCUGGAGUGGAGUAAGAUAUCGGUCAGUCAGGAUAUCAAUGAUAUCCUUGGGAUAUCCUUGAUGGGACUUGUUGGGACUUCUUAGGAAAGACCUAGUUUCUGCUGAGGAUGGGGACUUGGAGAGAGUGAGACAUGUUUCUAGGGCUCCCAGCCCAAAAGGCCUGCAAUGACAUGGUGGUUGCCAGUGAAGAUUCACCCUUCUUGAAUGCUCAUCACCCUGGGAGACUGGCAACACUGCACCACACUACAGAAGGACACCAUACUGUUGACUCGCAAUUUCAGAUGCCCCAUCUUCCGCACCCCGUCCUCUGCAGUCACAGCAGGUGGAGCAAGGGGUUGUUCUUAGGAAGGACUUCCCGUGGACUCUUUCACAGGCACUUGGAGUGAACUGGAACUCAUGGCCACAAGGUUCCAGGUCAAAAGAAACAAAAUUUCACAGACUUCCCACGUAGCCUCUGGAUGGAAUAAAAACCCUAAAAUAUU